rnacentral:rRNA from 1 species
GACGAACGCUGGCGGCGUGCUUAACACAUGCAAGUCGAGCGAUCGGCCUUCUGGGGGUAACCCCGGGAGGUACGGAGCGGCGAACGGGUGAGUAACACGUGGGCAACCUGCCCCAGACUCUGGGAUAACUCCGGGAAACCGGGGCUAAUACCGGAUACUUUCGACUUCCCGCAUGAGGAGUCGAGGAAAGCUCCGGCGGUCUGGGAUGGGCCCGCGGCCUAUCAGCUUGUUGGUGGGGUAACGGCCUACCAAGGCGCGACGGGUAGCUGGCGUGAGAGCGCGACCAGCCACACUGGGACUGAGACACGGCCCAGACUCCUACGGGAGGCAGCAGUGGGGAAUCUUGCGCAAUGGGCGAAAGCCUGACGCAGCGACGCCGCGUGGGGAUGAAGGCCCUCGGGUUGUAAACCCCUUUCGGCAGGGACGAAGCGAAAGUGAUGGUACCUGCAGAAGAAGCCCCGGCUAACUACGUGCCAGCCGCCGCCGUAAC